rnacentral:rRNA from 1 species
UACGUAGGGACCAAGCGUUGUUCGGAUUUACUGGGCGUAAAGGGCGCGUAGGCGGCGUGGUAAGUCACUUGUGAAAUCUCCGGGCUUAACUCGGAACGGUCAAGUGAUACUGUCGUGCUAGAGUACAGAAGGGGCAACUGGAAUUCUCGGUGUAGCGGUGAAAUGCGUAGAUAUCGAGAGGAACACCAGUGGCGAAGGCGACUACCUGGCCUGUUCUUGACGCUGAGGCGCGAAAGCUAGGGGAGCAAACGGG